rnacentral:tRNA from 1 species
GUUUUUCUAGUAAAAAUAAUACAGGCGACUUCCACUCACCAAAUCCCGCUUUAGCGGGGAAAAACA